rnacentral:rRNA from 1 species
UACGUAGGGUGCAAGCGUUAAUCGGAAUUACUGGGCGUAAAGCGUGCGCAGGCGGUUAUGUAAGACAGAUGUGAAAUGCCCGGGCUUAACCUGGGAACUGCAUUUGUGACUGCAUGGCUAGAGUUUGGCAGAGGGGGGUAGAAUUCCACGUGUAGCAGUGAAAUGCGUGAGAUAUGUGGAGGAACACCGAUGGCGAAGGCA